rnacentral:rRNA from 1 species
CCUACGGGAGGCAGCAGUAAGGAAUAUUGGGCAAUGGACGCAAGUCUGACCCAGCCAUGCCGCGUGCAGGAUGAAGGCCCUUUGGGUUGUAAACUGCUUUUAUCUGGGAAGAAAUCCACUGUUUCUACGGUGGUUGACGGUACCAGAGGAAUAAGCACCGGCUAACUUCGUGCCAGCAGCCGCGGUAAUACGGAGGGUGCAAGCGUUAUCCGGAUUCACUGGGUUUAAAGGGUGCGUAGGCGGGUUUUUAAGUCAGCGGUGAAAGCUCCGAGCUUAACUCGGAAAUUGCCGUUGAUACUAUUAAUCUUGAAUUUAGUUGAGGUGGGCGGAAUGUGUAGUGUAGCGGUGAAAUGCUUAGAUAUUACACAGAACACCUAUUGCGAAGGCAGCUCGCUAAACUAAUAUUGACGCUGAGGCACGAAAGCGUGGGGAUCAAACAGGAUUAGAAACCCUGGUAGUCCACGCCCUAAACGAUGAUUACUCGAUCCGUGCGAUACACUGUACGGGUCUAUUCAAAAGCAUUAAGUAAUCCACCUGGAAGACGACCGCAAGGUUGAAACUCAAGGAAUUGAGNGNGAGAGNGCGAGACGACGACGAGGGAGAG